UGCACACUGUAGGACCUGGAAUAUGGCUAGAUAACUUAACAAGGUGGAAAAUGAGACACACACACUGUAGGACCUGGAAUAUGGCGAGAAACCUAACAAAUGAGGAAAAUGAGAAACUCACACAGUAGGACCUGGAAUAUGGUGAGAAAACUGAGAAACGAGGAAAAUGAGAAACUCACAUGGUAGGACAUGGAAUAUGGCGAGAAACAAUGAAAAAAGGUGGAAAAUGAGAAAUGCACACUGUAGG
rnacentral:lncRNA from 1 species